AUUGAACGCUGGCGGCAUGCCUUACACAUGCAAGUCGAACGGUAACAGGGAGCUUGCUCCGCUGACGAGUGGCGAACGGGUGAGUAAUGUAUCGGAACGUACCUUUCAGUGGGGGAUAACGUAGCGAAAGUUACGCUAAUACCCCAUAUUCUGUGAGCAGGAAAGCAGGGGACCUGCGGGCCUUGCGCUGAUUGAGCGGCUGAUAUCAGAUUAGCUAGUUGGUGAGGUAGAGGCUCACGAAGGCGACGAUCUGUAGCGGGUCUGAGAGGAUGAUCCGCCACACUGGAACUGAGACACGGUCCAGACGCCUACGGGAGGCAGCAGUGGGGAAUUUUGGACAAUGGGGGCAACCCUGAUCCAGCCAUGCCGCGUGAGUGAAGAAGGCCUUCGGGUUGUAAAGCUCUUUCGGCCGGGAAAAAAUCGCAUGGGCUAAUACCCUGUGUGGAUGAUGGUACCGGAGUAAGAAGCACCGGCUAACUACGUGCCAGCCGCCGCCGUAA
rnacentral:rRNA from 1 species